UUUAGGAAUUUGUCCUCACCCCAGAAUCCUCUGACAUCUUGAAGUCUUAAGAAUCAAUCACUUUUGGUUGGGUUCUAAAAUGCAUCUGCUAACAUCCCAGAGGACAUUUCUGUAGCAACAGCUGUUUUUUGCACUCCACUGCAGGGGCUGGUGAGAUGAGCCUAACAUCUUUGCUGUGGAGCAAGAAUUACAUGAAAUUAAUUGAGAAGCUUCCUUACUGAUGUAGACUUUGAAGAAGCAGUAUAGGAAGAGUAUUGAUGCUUUUGAACUUUGGUGUUGAAAAAGACUCCUGAGAAUACCGUGGACAGCCAAGGAAACAAACUGAUGAAUCAUCAAACAAAUCAACCCAGAUUUCUCACUCAAAGCAUAAAUGACCAGAUUCAAAUUAUCCUACUUUGGACACAUUAUGUGAAGACCUAGCCCUCUGGAGAAGGCUGUAAUGCUGGAAAGGGUGGAAGGAAAGAGAAGAAGAGGACAACCAGCAGGAAGGUUGAUGGACUCAGUUACAGUGGCAAUGAGUGUACCAUUGGAAGACCUGAAAGACUAGGUUGGGAAUAGAUUGUCAUGGAGAAAAUUUAUCUAUGUGGUCACUAAGAGCUGACAGCAACUUGAUGGCAUGUAAUCAAAUCAAUCCUUACUGAUGUAAAUGUGGCAGUAUGGAGAAUCUACUAAAUAA